GUAGUUAGCCGGGGCUUCCUCCUUGGCUACCGUCAUUUUUUCGUCACCAAGGACAGAGGUUUACAACCCGAAGGCCUUCUUCCCUCACGCGGCGUUGCUGGGUCAGGCUUUCGCCCAUUGCCCAAUAUUCCCCACUGCUGCCUCCCGUAGGAGUCUGGACCGUUUCUCAGUUCCAGUGUGGCCGUUCAGCCUCUCAGCUCGGCUACCCAUCGUCGACUUGGUGGGCCGUUACCCCGCCAACUAUCUAAUGGGACGCGAACCCGUCUUACACCGGAUUUCUCCUUUGACCCCCAAGCCAUGUGGCCCUGUGGUCUUAUGCGGUAUUAGCAGCCGUUUCCAGCUGUUGUCCCCCUGUGUAAGGUUGGUUGUUCACGCGUUACUCACCCGUCCGCCGCUAAGUUCCCCCGAAGGGUUCCCUCCGCUCGACUUGCAUGGGUUAGGCAUGCCGCCAGCGUUCGUCCUUGAGCCACGGAUCAAACUCUGA
rnacentral:rRNA from 1 species